CAAAGAUUUUUAGUUGUUUCGUUAUUUAAAUGUCAAAGGUUCCAACCAUAGGACUAGAUUAGUAUGUGUUUAUAAAAACUGGCCCGCCCAACCUGCAGCGAACAACACUAACAGAUGGCACAACUAACAUGUAAUUUUUAAAUCGUUAGCUUCAUAGAAGACUGUUAGUUGGCGGCUAGCGCCACGGGUGGAAAUACGGGCUCGCGAGCAGAGGGAAGGCUGAGGCGGGUAGCCAGACGGGAAGCGAAUUGGAUUUAUUUUAUUAAAUGCCUUUAUUUUUAAUUUCUAGAGAACGCAGUGUUCUGAUGUGGUAAAUAGACAAGCUGUUUGAAAAAUUAAAAUAUUUUCGUCUUU